GUACUCACUUCAACAGCGCAUAUGCUAAAAUUGGAAUGAUACGGAGAUUAGCGUGGCCCUCGCACAAGGACAACACACAAAUUUGUGAAGCGUUCCAAAUGUUU
ensembl:snRNA U6 U6 spliceosomal RNA